rnacentral:sRNA from 1 species
AUUAUAUAACUGUAUUUUAAUUGUUAGUUAUAGGAUUUCACCCGUUGUAUAACGUCCUAUAUUACUAUAAAUUCAAAUUCGUCUUAUCAUCUAAUUUCGUUCAGUGAAAUUAAACAUAUUUAAUGGAUUUCAUCCGUGCUAUACUCUCUCAUAUUACUAUCGACUAAAACCCGUCCUACCAUCUAACCCCGUUCAGUAAAAUUAAAUAUU